UAGGGAAUCUUCCGCAAUGGGCGCAAGCCUGAUGGAGCAACGCCGCGUGUGUGAUGAAGGCUUUCGGGUCGUAAAGCACUGUUGUAUGGGAGAAAUGCUAGAAUAGGGAAUGAUUCUAGUUCGACGGUACCAUACCAGAAAGGGACGGCUAAAUACGUGCCAG
rnacentral:rRNA from 1 species